rnacentral:rRNA from 1 species
UACGUAGGGUGCGAGCAUUGUCCGGAAUUAUUGGGCGUAAAGAGCUUGUAGGCGGUUUGUCGCGUCUGCCGUGAAAAUUCGAGGCUCAACCUCGAACUUGCGGUGGGUACGGGCAGACUAGAGUGUGGUAGGGGGGACUGGAAUUCCUGGUGUAGCGGUGAAAUGCGCAGAUAUCAGGAGGAACACCGAUGGCGAAGGCAGGUCUCUGGGCCACUACUGACGCUGAGAAGCGAAAGCAUGGGGAGCGAUCAGG